rnacentral:lncRNA from 1 species
UUUAAAGUAAAUGGUCAGUGAUUGAAACCUUACAUAAAUGAAAUUAGCGAUGGAGAAUUAAUUAAAUCUGUUGAUCUAAUGGAUCCAAUACCGUCAUGAUACUCAGUUCAGUCUGGCUGAAGACUUUAAACUUAGCACUCCUGGGAGGCAACCCAAUUUAUAUAUUUUUUUAAUUAUCUAGCCUCUUUUCUUUUCAUAGAAAAAUCCAAGAAAGGCAAUCAGCCAAGUUGGGGGGAGCAUCUCAUCCAAAGCCCAGAUGGAGUCAUGAACCAAUCACGCCCAC